AAAAAAAAAAGUUUGAGAAAAGCAAUAGACGUUAAGGUAUAAUCAUAAUGGAGGACAAGAAGAAAGGAAGAGCCAUCUCCUGUUACCUAAUUAUCCAGGAAGUCUCUAAGCUAGGGCCUCCAGCCCCAUUCUGUGCUACCGCGUCCUUCCCAGCUCAGAAGAAUCCCUCGCUGCCAGCUCUUCUGUAAAAGAUGCAGAACAUUGCUGCAUCCAGUUCCCCAUGAAAAGAUCGGUCAAACCCCCAAACUAUAGCUGGGAUACAGGAAGGAUAAGUACAUAUAAGUGUUGUUUUGUUACAUAUUCUCUUAACCUUUGCUUGCUGGCCUGAAACAUUUCCUUUGCUGUCUGAUGUUGCAGACAUUUACACACUUGUCUUGCUGGUGGUUUUACCCAUGGACAGGUCUCUCCAGGAGUCUCCAUGCAGUCAGGAGCUGCAUUUGUGGUCAGGAUCUUGUCCUCAGUCUUCAUCUGAGCUAUGCCAUGUGUGCCUGUGUGCAUGUGUGAACUUUGAGGUUCACAAUAACCCAGAUCCUGAACUUGCAUUCCUGGCUUGACCUCAGACUGACCACUUUGCCGUGGAUAUCUCUGGUGAUCUGGACUAUUGCUAACCCUGCUUACCAUCACUGGACAGGAGUUUUCCCCGUCCCUGAACCUAAUCUUGCUUUACACUGGUACUACACUCGGUCAGUGAAACCAGUGACGCCCAUCACGCUCGCUGCCACCCUCAGCUCCUGGCUCACACCUUUCCUUAUGGAGAAAAGGGAGCAGCCACCCACCACUGCUGCUCCCUGCUCAGAAUAAACACAGCAUGCAUUCUUGCCUUUAAAAGAAAAGCAGUUAAUGUGAAGUCACCUCCUUUCCAGAAGUACCGGAGUGCCACAGGGUGUCAUUCACAGCAGCACGUCUCUGAAGGCGAUGACGGCACAGGGGAGCAAACAGGUCUCAUGUCAGAUCAACAGAAGCAUAACUGUGAAAUCCUGGUACUUUUUA